CCCAUUUGCAACAAAGGAUUUCAAGUUAGUAGCUAACUUUUUGUGUUGCUAGAGAAGAUCACUUAUACUUACCUUUCAUGGAAGCAAGAAAGUCUUGAGCAGAUAUGUGCACUUUCUCCAAUGUUUUAUUGAUUGGGGCUGUGUUUGGAAGGCAGAAAACAUGUUCAGACUUACAGAGAAGAGAAGAGACUAGUGAGAAAUGGCUAUUGCAUAGGUAAUAUUUCAGAUUCCGAUUCCUAUUUUAUAUUUCUUAAAACUAUCAUUGCUAUUUGUUAUUAGUUAGGCUAUAUCUAAUUGAUAUUUGCUACAAAAUUGGGAUUGUUGUGUUAGAAAUUGUAAUAAUAGUUAGAAACUUUGAUAGUAGAUAUUUGCUAGAUUUCAAUUGCUAAUUGAUAUUAGUUAGAAACCAUGAUAGUAGUUAAGCUAUUUGCUAUGUCAAAUCGAAUCCGAACUUUUGAAUCCGGUUAUGCAAAAAGACAAAAAAACGAAAAAAAAGACGCUUUAAUUGAAUCACAUAAGGGAGCACUUUUAAAAUUUUGUUCCAAACAAAAUUCUACAAACGAUAAUAUACCUACAGAACGUAGCUUUUCCAAAUUAAAACUAAUAAAAAAUUACAUAAGAUCUACAAUGUCACAAGAAAGAUUAAACGGUUUAGCUAUUAUGUCAAUCGAAAAAGAACUUUUAGAAGAACUUGAUUACGAUAUUUCAUCAAACAAUUUGGCUCGGGUAGAUUUUAUGUAAACAUAUGCUAUAAUUAUAGAAAACAUAUGACUUUCAAAAAAAAAUUAACUUUUUAGUUUAUAAUUGGCGGUCCCAAGCCCGAAUAAAGGAGGAAGGUUUUGUUACUAAAUAUGUUGAAAAUGAUAAUUUUGCAAAAGGGCCUCCACUUCGUAGUUCGAUUAGGGCCUCCGAAAACGUAGGAACGGCACUGGUGUGGGGGCUUGAAGGGAGGAUGUGGAGCGACACGUAACUGACACCUUCUAAGCCCUUAAAACCAGGGGUGGUGUUGGAUAUGGAAAUUGU
rnacentral:lncRNA from 1 species